GGCUGCGAGCCCCGGAUCGAGUGCACCGGGGAGGGCGUCUGGUUCGUGGCCGCCUUCGCCAACUACAGCCUCGCCGACGUCAACUAUCUGGAGCGCCCCAUAAUGCUCGAGCAGAACGACAUCCUACCCUACACCGAACUCGAGACCAGUCCUGCCAAUACCUUGAUGAUGAUUCAGGUUACUAAGUUCACAUGUGGUGGGUUCCUCAUUGGUGUAAGGUUCAACCACGCAUCCGCUGAUGGCUUAGGAUUGGCACAAGUCAUUUCCGCCAUUGGUGACCUUAUAUUCUGAAGAUUGAAAAGGGCUACUAUGGCAAUUCUGAAGGUUUAGCACAUGUAUAGGUGUUUCUCACCUCAAAAUAUAUUGGGAGAGGGUGGAUUUUGUUCUGUUUACAAAGGGUGCUUACCUGAUGGAAGAGAAGUGGCCGUGAAGCAAUUAAAAAUUGAAAGUAGGCAAGGUGACCGUGAGUUCAAAUCUGAAGUGGAGAUUAUCAGCCGUGUGCACCAUCGCCAUUUGGUUUCUCUUGUAGGGUAUUGCAUAUCAUACGAUCAAAGGCUGCUUGUGUAUGAUUUUGUGCCCAAUGGAACACUUGAAUCUCAUCUUCAUGGGAAGAACACAAGACCUGUAAUGGAUUGGGCAACCAGGGUGAAGCCGUCAAUCCAUUUUGAUCAAUAUAUCUAGUAGAAAUAAACAUGCAGAUCAUUGUC